GCCAAAAGUGAUCCUUGCGGGGGAAGCAGGAAAGAUGCGUAAUCUCAACCAUGAUUGCUAGUAAGUCCUUGAUAGUAAGAAGAAGUGUUUGGGAAGCCAAAAGAAAACCUGAGGUAGGAAGCAAAGGAUACCCACAUUAGAAGUGAAGGUACAGGAGUGUCUCUUUUUUUUCCUUCUAGCUAUGAAAGGAAUAUAUUUUUCAUUAAUAGACAAAAACCCUAAAUCCACGUAUCGUAUGUUACCAAGGUGUGUAAAGCGCCCAACAUAAACGCCUUGUGUUGGACCACGUUAUAUCACACACACGAUAGAUGCUUCUGCAUCUGCAUUAAAAAAAAUCUUUUUAAUUUGAAUAUAGGUGACCCACAAUGUUAUGUUAGUUUCAGGUGUGCAGCACAGUGACUCAACUUCUCAAUACAUUACACUAUGCUCACCGCAAGUGUCAGCAUACAACUCUGUUAAAAUAUCACUUUCUCUCUUCCCUGCGCUGUGCCGACGUCUAGCAUUUCUUGAUCAUAGACAUCAUGUUUGGACCACACAGUGUUUGCUAGUCCACCAUAUGUCCGUCCCUUAUCCAAAAAGGCUGUCCUCAACGUGUCCUCCCUGCGGUGGUACAGAGUAAUACAAACGGCAGCCAUCUAUGAGCACUUGUUCCAAGCCCCACGUUGAGCCCUUCGUGUCAUUUGAGCCACAAGGCAACCCCAUUUUACAGAUGACAAAGCUGAGGCCCAUGGCUUAAGUUCUCAUAACUUACGAGCCCUUGAAUCGAGUCAGACCCAGGCUUUGUGACCCCAGAGCUUCUUUCUCCUCCACGUGAGGUUUGUUUCCCCACAUUCUUGACAAUCAUGGUUAUAUUUUUCUUUUAAAUAGUUUGCAGGUUGAUAUGUAAAAACAACAUAUACAUCUUUAUAAGGCCGAAUAUCUUUUUAUACACCUCCCAUAUUCUAUGAACUUUGCUUAUUUUCUAUCAGUGUAGUCUUUUUCUCACUGACCGUGUGUUUGUAUAUAUUAAGGAGAUCAAUCCUUUGCCGGAUACAAAUUGCAGAUAUUCUCCCCAUUUUUUAGGUGUUUGUCUUUUUUUUUUUUAAAUGUUUAUUUUUGAG